GCCCCGGUAGCUCAGUUGGAUAGAGCAAUCCCCUCCUAAGGGAUAGGUCAGACGUUCGAGUCGUCUUCGGGGCGCCA
rnacentral:tRNA from 1 species